rnacentral:rRNA from 1 species
ACGCUAGCUACAGGCUUAACACAUGCAAGUCGAGGGCAGCGGGUUGAAAGCUUGCUUUCAAUGCCGGCGACCGGCGCACGGGUGCGUAACGCGUAUCAAACCUGCCUCAUACUCGGGGAUAGCCUUGCGAAAGUAAGAUUAAUACCCGAUGUUGUUGCUUUCUCGCAUGGGAGGGUAACCAAAGAUUUAUCGGUAUGAGAUGGUGAUGCGUCCGAUUAGGUAGUAGGCGGGGUAACGGCCCACCUAGCCUUCGAUCGGUAGGGGUUCUGAGAGGAAGGUCCCCCACACUGGAACUGAGACACGGUCCAGACUCCUACGGGAGGCAGCAGUGAGGAAUAUUGGUCAAUGGGCGAGAGCCUGAACCAGCCAAGUAGCGUGCAGGAUGACGGCCCUCCGGGUUGUAAACUGCUUUUAGUUGGGAAUAAAAAAAGGGACUUGUCCCUUCUUGUAUGUACCUUCAGAAAAAGGACCGGCUAAUUCCGUGCCAGCAGCCGCGGUAAUACGGAAGGUCCAGGCGUUAUCCGGAUUUAUUGGGUUUAAAGGGAGCGUAGGCGGAUUGUUAAGUCAGCGGUUAAAGGGUGUGGCUCAACCAUGCAUUGCCGUUGAAACUGGCGAUCUUGAGUGCAGACAGGGAUGCCGGAAUUCGUGGUGUAGCGGUGAAAUGCUUAGAUAUCACGAAGAACUCCGAUCGCGAAGGCAGGUGUCCGGGCUGCAACUGACGCUGAGGCUCGAAAGUGUGGGUAUCAAACAGGAUUAGAUACCCUGGUAGUCCACACAGUAAACGAUGUAUACUCGCGGUUUGCGAUAGACAGUAAGCCGCCAAGCGAAAGCAUUAAGUAUACCACUUGGGGAGUACGCCGGCAACGGUGAAACUCAAAGGAAUUGACGGGGGCCCGCACAAGCGGAG